CCUACGGGUGGCAGCAGUGAGGAAUAUUGGUCAAUGGGCGCGAGCCUGAACCAGCCAAGUAGCGUGAAGGAUGACUGCCCUACGGGUUGUACACUUCUUUUAUAAAGGAAUAAAGUGAGGCACGUUUGCCUUUUUGUAUGUACUUUAUGAAUAAGGAUCGGCUAACUCCGUGCCAGAAGCCGCGGUAAUACGGAGGAUCCGAGCGUUAUCCGGAUUUCUUGGGUUUAAGGGGAACGUAGAUGGGUUGUUAAGUCAGUUGUGAACGUUUGCGGCUCAACCGUAAAAAUGCAAUUGAUACUGGCAGUCGUGAGUACAGUUGAGGUAGGCGGAAUUCGUGGUGUAGCGGUGAAAUGCUUAGAUAUCACGAAGAACUCCGAUUGCGAAGGCAGCUUACUAAACUGCCACUGACAUUGAUGCUCGAAAGUGUGGGGAUCAAACAGGAUUAGAUACCCGUGUAGUC
rnacentral:rRNA from 1 species